AUUAAGGGCAUAGGUGGUUAAAGUGCCUCUCUCGUAAACAGGAGAUCCAGGGUUCAAAUCCCAGCGGUGCCUUAACA